rnacentral:rRNA from 1 species
AACGAACGCUGGCGGCAGGCCUAACACAUGCAAGUCGAGCGCUACCUUCGGGUGGAGCGGCGGACGGGUUAGUAACGCGUGGGAAUAUACCCAGUUCUAAGGAAUAGCCACUGGAAACGGUGAGUAAUACCUUAUACGCCCUUCGGGGGAAAGAUUUAUCGGAAUUGGAUUAGCCCGCGUUAGAUUAGAUAGUUGGUGGGGUAAUGGCCUACCAAGGCGACGAUCGGUAGCUGGUCUGAGAGGAUGAUCAGCCACACUGGGACUGAGACACGGCCCAGACUCCUACGGGAGGCAGCAGUGGGGAAUAUUGGACAAUGGGGGCAACCCUGAUCCAGCAAUGCCGCGUGUGUGAUGAAGGCCUUAGGGUUGUAAAGCACUUUCAACGGUGAAGAUGAUGACGGUAGCCGUAGAAGAAGCCCCGGCUAACUUCGUGCCAGCAGCCGCGGUAAUACGAAGGGGGCGAGCGUUAUUCGGAAUUAUUGGGCGUAAAGGGCUCGCAGGCUGCUUGAACAGUUAGACGUGAAAUCCCCGGGCUUAACCUGGGAACUGCGUUUAAUACUAGCAAGCUAGAGAAAUAGAGAGGAAAGUGGAACUCCCAGUGUAGAGGUAAAAUUCGUA